rnacentral:lncRNA from 1 species
UUUUUCCUUUCAGCCAGCAUUAGGGUUUUAAACUCUAAACUGAGCUUUUCCAUGCAAUCAGCAUUAGGGUUUUAAACCCUAAACUGAAUUUUUCCUUUAGUCAGCAUUAGGGUUUUAAACCCUAAACUGAACUUUUUUCCAUGUAAUCAGCAUUAGGAUUUUAAACCCUAAACUGAAUUUUUCCUUUAGUCAGCAUUAGGGUUUUAAACCCUAAACUGAACUUUUUUCCUUUCAGCCAGCAUUAGGGUUUUAAACCCUAAACUGAGCUCUUCCACGCAAUCAGCAUUAGGGUUUUAAACCCUAAACUGAACUUUUUUCUUUCCAUCCAGCAUUAGGGUUUUAAACCCUAAACUGAGCUUUUCCAUGCAAUCAGCAUUAGGGUUUUAAACCCUAAACUGAAUUUUUCCUUCAGCCAGUAUUAGGGUUUUAAACCCUAAACUGAGAUUUUUCAUGUAAU